CACACCUUUUUUUUCCUCUCUCCAGUCAACACCAACCACCGCCACUUCUUUCCAUUGAUCGGAUUAUGUAAAAGGAUUUAUGUGAAGAAAAAAGAAGAAUAAAAGGAUAUGGAGGUGGUUAGGCAAUGAAUUUGAAUUAGGUGUUUGGGUUUGCGUGUCUAUAGAAGAAGAUGAAGAAAUUACGGUUUUAAACAUCACAAAGGCUUAAAAAUUUGAAAUCUUAGCUUUGAAACUCGAAGAACAGUAACACCUCUAAAGCUAAAAUCACAGCCUACCACCAGAGCACCACCAUCGCAACACCACUACCACCACAACACCACGGCCACACAACCAUUGUUGUGAUUUAGGAUCUAAUUACCAUCGUAGCUUCUAACUACUCCUUAGAUGAUUUUUGGUAUUUUAUGCGAGUUCUUCAUUUAAGUUUUCA